AUCCGCCUUGGGCGGGGCUCAGGCUGGGCGUUCGUUAGAGCGAACGGACCCGGCCGAUCCCGCGAGGCGAGGUCGGAUGAUGGUGGUGGCCGUGAUGAUGCGGCUGGCGGGUCAUUGUGGCGGGGCUAUAGCGGAUGAGGAGGGGUGGGGGAAGGGGCAGCAUCGGCAGAG
rnacentral:sRNA from 17 species